UACGAAGGGGGCUAGCGUUGCUCGGAAUCAUUGGGCGUAAAGGGCGCGUAGGCGGCCCCGUUAGUCGGGCGUGAAACCCCCGGGCUCAACCCGGGGACUGCGCUCGAUACGGCGGGGCUCGAGGGUGGAAGAGGGCCGCGGAAUUCCCAGUGUAGAGGUGAAAUUCGUAGAUAUUGGGAAGAACACCGGUGGCGAAGGCGGCGGCCUGGUCCAUUCCUGACGCUGAGGCGCGACAGCGUGGGGAGCAAACAGG
rnacentral:rRNA from 1 species